rnacentral:rRNA from 1 species
UACGAAGGGGGCUAGCGUUGCUCGGAAUCACUGGGCGUAAAGCGCACGUAGGCGGACUCUUAAGUCGGUGGUGAAAUCCUGGAGCUCAACUCCAGAACUGCCUUCGAUACUGGGAGUCUCGAGUGCGGGAGAGGUGAGUGGAAUUCCCAGUGUAGAGGUGAAAUUCGUAGAUAUUGGGAAGAACACCGGUGGCGAAGGCGGCAUCCUGGACCGGUAUUGACGCUGAGGCGCGAAAGCCAGGGGAGCAAAGCGGG